ensembl:lncRNA
GCCAAAAUACAAAUGUAGUACUUCCAAAUAACUUGCCCGAAGUACAUGUUGUCCUAAAUUGAGACAAAAGAGGAAAUAAAAGAUUUAUAAUUUCACUGUCCAAUAACCAAUGUUUUUCCAACCCUCAGCCUUAUCUCUUUCAAGAAAAUGCAUCAAAUACUUCUUCAGUCCUUCCUCAAGGCCAAUCUAGGUGCCCAAACUGUUCUUAAGUCCAGAAAGCAAUCAGGAACUGCUUCUUUUCAGCUGGUAUGCAUAAAAAGCCUCUUGAUCUAGACUGUAACACUAUUACCUGAAGCAGAAUGGAAACAAUCAGCCUCUGAAGGGAAAUUAUCAGCACUGACCAGAUAUUCUUGGAUCAGGUAACAUGAUCUUUUCUUACUCUUUACUUACUGUCAUCUUAAAGUCCUCUGAACUCUGAAUUUCCUCUAGUGAAAAUUUAGAGAAUUUAUGCUUCUUGAAAAUGCUCCUGGUGUUGCUUUCUUUCCUUAUUAUCUGCCAUUCAUUGCAUCUAUACAACCUUGCUGUUCAAUCUAAGAAGCAGAUCCAUAAGACACCACUGUAGAUGCAAACCAUGUACCAAAAUGAGUUGAUUUUGGCACCCAGAUUGCUGAUGAAAUUCAUGCUUCAUUAACAGAUGCUUAAUGUAUAUAAUACACAUAUUUUAGAAUUGACCUCAACCUAGCCAGGGAGGCUGGCUGACCCCAUGAAAAUACAAUUACCUAAUGGGAGAUUAUAGAGUUUUACUUAUUGUAUUUAGUACUUCUAGGAAAUUAUUUUGUGUCUCUCUGGCUUUGUCAGCCUUCUUGUUUAAACUAUGUUUUAAUGUUAUUAGAGCUUGCAAGCUAAACUAGUGGAAAGACAGGGAAAGGCAGCACAAUUUCCUUUCAGAUCAGAGCCAAUGUUUCUCCAAAACCUUAGCAGGCCGGGUUUGCCACAAGAUCAAUGCAGCUGAACACUCCACCUGCAGAAUGAGCUCACUGUCUGUGCAUUACACUAGCCCUCUGCCAGUCCAAGUAGUAAGACUCCUGGGGUUGGUCUUGAACCUGCUACUCCCCACUCUGGAGUGCUAAGCUUUGCUGCCAAGACACCAGGCCAGGUAUUAAAUGCAUUCUUGUUUCUGUUACUUUCCAGCACUCAGAGGACCACAUAAGAAAGCCUAGAAAACUUAAUUGGAAAGCAAGGAGAGUGCAGAAUUCUUAAAGAACUUUUUCAGUCAGGAAUAUUUGUGAAAAGAAUAACAAUAUUAAGAAAAAGAAAAAAGAAAUCUAAAUAUUCAUCUCACCUUGUCCUCAUAUAGAGGCAUCAACAUAACUUUUCCUAUGUGAAACAAGUAAGCAAAUGAAUCAGCACAGAAUAAGCUUGUUUUCAUCCCCGUAGUUCUGUAUUAAAAUCCGUAAGGUCUGUUUUCUUCAGCAUUGUAGGGUUUCCAUCUUAUGAAGAAGUAAACUUUACAAAAAAAAGAAAAACCAUACCUCAAAUCUGCAGGUGCAGGAGCCCUAGGGUAUGAAUCCAUGAAGAACUUCUGAUUUGG